UACGUAGGGUGCGAGCGUUGUCCGGAAUUACUGGGCGUAAAGAGCUUGUAGGCGGUUUUUCGAGUCGUCUGGGAAAACUCACAGCUCAACUGUGAGCUUGCAGGCGAUACGGGCAGACUUGAGUACUGCAGGGGAGACUGGAAUUCCUGGUGUAGCGGUGAAAUGCGCAGAUAUCAGGAGGGACGCCGGUGGCGAAGGCGGGUCUCUGGGCAGUAAAUGACGCUGAGAAGCGACAGCGUGGGUAGCGAACAGG
rnacentral:rRNA from 1 species